CUCUGGGUCCCGCCAGACUUUCCCGCUUAACCGCGUGGCAGAGGAAGCCCAGCGUGGCCCAUGACGGCGAAGCCGCUGGGCCUUGGAGGUGAGCGAGCAGCAGCCCCUGAGCUGUUUCCAACAUUCCUGCUCUUGAAGUUUUAACAAAGGGAAACCGUCCCCGGAAGAAGACAGUUGCAGAAGAGGCUCCGUCUGCGAAACGUUUAGGAGCUCUGGGGGGAAGAGCCCAGACGUGCAGCGGGCGGGGCUUGCUGAGUCAGCUGCGAAAAUGUGAAGUUGGGCAGCUAAAUAAAGGCCAAGCUAAGGAAUAAGCGCAGCUCGGGGAAAGCCCGUGGAGCCAGACCCGGCCAGCCGGCACGAAGGUGGCAGCCACAGUGCAGAGGACGUGCUUCCACGGCGUGCCUGGGUGAGGUUUCAGGGGGCUGCUCCCUGGUCAUCCGUGAUUUCCCGUGAGCAGAUCGAUUCUGGGCUGACCCGCGGGCUGCAGGCUACGUGGACAUUCCUGAGGUGACCAGAGAGGCCCCAGACGGAUGAGCAGGGGCGGCUGGUGUGGUGGGGACAGGACGUGUCCGAGGCUCAGGGACCAGCACUUCCCGGGGCGGAGGGCCCCCCACCCCAGCCCUGGCGGCCCCAGGAAGGGCAAUGGCGAGGCCUCAUCCCCCAUGGGCGGUGGGGCCUGGCCCCCAGACUAGGGGCGAGAACCUGCUUCCAGGAGGAAUUUCUGCUCAACGCUCGGUGGGUCGUAAAGCCCCAGCCUGGCCUGCCGCGGGCUUGAGUCACUGACCUUCCCUCCUUUCAGUCCGAAGGCACCCGCGUCGCCCUUGGGCCCAAGGGGUCCUUGGAUGCCCUGGGGAGAGGACGCAGAGUCAGACCACAUUCUGAAACCGCAGCCACUGGGCUGCACACACGUGAGCGACAAGCCAGAAGGGCAGGUCUGCACGUGGUGUGGCCCGUGCGACUUCUUAGCGUGUCAGCAGGAGGGCUGAGGCAACUCCACUCUUGACGACUUAGUCUUAAAAUGUCGGUGAGAGAAAGCGACUUACAUCGAAUCCGGGCGAGCCCUUGCAGCCUGGCAGGCCAGGGUACCCCGUCUCCCCCUGCAAGGAGGAAGGCGGGUUCGGUGAUCAAGCCUUUCAGCACUGGCCCAUCCACCCGCUUCCCAAGAAAGCCCCACCCGGCAGAAGGAGCUCUGAGCUUGGCCAGGUGGCUUGGGGUCCACUGGGACCUGGGGCUUGGCAGGAAACGUCUCCUGCCUUUCAUGCUGCCCAGGGGUGGCCACACAUGAGACCCCUCCCCACCCACCGGCCCUGGGGUGGCCAGCCUUGCCCACCGUCCCUUCCUGAAACACGGGCCCCGCCUCCAGCGCUCCCCCAGCUGAGGGUGACCUUCAUGCCAUCCACGCCGUCCACGCCACGCUUCCCCUUCUCGCCCUGCAAAGUGCAAAAGCCAGAGAAGGCCAGACCAACGUCAGACCGCACCCCACAGGGAGGCGCCCCGCCGGCCGCGCCCCUCCGGCCACACUCACCUUGCAGCCCUUGGGUCCCCUGGAGCCCUGAGGAGACAGGAAGGAAGGGUGAGAGGCUUGGCCUCCCCAGCAUGGGGCGAGGUCCCCAAGGAGGGCGCCUCCCCACCACCCAGCUCAUCGCAGCCCAGCCACGCCGGGAACAGGCAGCAUCGCCCCUGUCCAGAGUAGGGGGCCGCCCUGUGCCCCGAGGGACACCCCCCAAAGUCUCACGUCACUCACCUUCUCCCCUCGGCUCCCUUUUUCUCCCUAGACAGCAAACAGGGGAGGGAAGGGGGCUGUGAGGGGCGCCCCAGGCCGGAUGCCCUGAGGCCCCAGGAAAGGCUGUGGUAGAGGAGGGGGAGACGCACCUUCAUGCCCUGGUAGCCGACGGGUCCGAGGUCCCCAGGCCUUCCCUGCAACAGAGGAAGGGGUGGGUUAGACACCCGUGGGGGCAGGGGCAGCCCCCAUCCAACCCGCUUGCUCUCCACGCUACUCAGGCCCGGUCAGCUGGAGAGACCUGGCUGGCUGACCACUGACCUGCGUCUGAGAAGCGCCCUGCUAUGAAGGCCUCACCCACCCCUCCCGGGGGCUCUCAGCGGAGCUCCAGGGAGGCGGAGGCCCAGAGCCCCCCACGGGGCCACGGGGGAGGGGAAACUGGCCGUGGCUGAAGCAGAGGCCCUGGGACUUUGCUGGCCGCCCCCUGCCCCCGCCUUCUGAGAGCAGGUGGGCCUGUGGGGGCGCCUGAGGGGCACGGGGGCUCUUCCCGGGCGGGGGCUGCUGGAAGGACGGCUAUGCCGCGUGCGCCCUGGUCCUCGCCACCACGAGGGCCGUGUCCUCUGAGGGUCAGGCCACAUGGCGAUGGUGCUCAGAAGCCAGCCAUCCUUCUGGAAGCUUCCGCAGCCCAGUUCCCUGGGCUCGGGCUUCUCAGCGCCCCCAUCCCCCAGUCAGGGCUCGGCACUCACGGGGUCUCCGGCGUCUCCUUUCUCUCCCGGGAGCCCUGGCUUCCCUCUUUCUCCCUGGAAUACAGAGCAGAUCAAGGUUAGACGACAAAUUCCAUUUAUUUCUAAAAAGCUGGUGAGAAGGACCCUCUACUUGCGAACAAAAAAGGUCCAAAAAGCUAUUCCAUCCGGUCCCUAGUGUUCAUGUGAUUUUCAGGCACCUUCCUCGUGGCCCAUCCUGGGACCUGCGUGGUCAGGUCCACGCUCCCCUCCCACACACCCCACCGGGCCCUGGGGCUGCCCGGCGCCGGCUGGAGUGACCCCUGAAUCUUUUCUCUCCGCCCAUUCUUGCUGCUGGGGCGGGCGGGGUGGGUGGGGCGCAGAAGCCCCCCGGAGGAGGUAGCCGUGUGGCUCCACGGCUACUGCACCUGACACUUUCUAGGAAAAGCCAGAAAUGUGGACUUUCACAAGCAAGAUCCCAGGUUGUGAAUACUGGGAACUAACUUUGUUCUCCAAAACCUCCGCACGAAGCAGUCGUGGCCUUGGGCCAUGUUCACCCGUCCCAUGGAGGGUCCGCCUCCAGCAGCGAAGCCACAGGGGUGGUCACUCCAGAAAGGCCGCUCCCUCCCCCAUGGGGAAGAGGCCGGAGCGGCGGGCCCCACCCCACGGCAGCCCGUGGCCGCCACAUCGGCGUGGGGUCACGGCGCCUGGACUCUCUCCCGCGCUGGGGCACCUGCUCAGCACAGCAGGUGGGCGGUGAGCGCUCAGGACGGCUGCCUGGGGUCCAGCGCAUCCCUAACACCUGGGUGCCAGGCAGCAGGGACAUUUCUCCCAGGCUUCCCCCCCACCCCAAGGAGGAAAGCACGGACAGGACGCGGCCACUCACCUCAUACCCGGGGUCGCCCCGCAGCCCGGGAGGUCCUCUGGCGGGCUGCAAGACACAAGAGAACGGCGCGGGAUCUCCGGCAUCUUGGACACGGCGGGGAGGGCGGGGCCGCGCUCACGAUCAUGUCCGUGAUGGUGUCGAUGGUCUGGCUGAUGACGGCCUCCGCGUCGCGGCUCUGCCCCCAGUCGGCCGCCGUGAAGUUGCGCCUGUACGUGUGGUCCGUGGCGAUGAUGCUCAGACGUGGCUCCUGGCGUGGAUGCGACCAGAACAAGGGCGAACGUUGGUGACGGUGGGAGCCCCUGCAGGGGGUGAGAGAGGUGAGACCACCCAGCCGGGCCCCUCAGGCCAGCACUGACCCUGACAGCUCAGGGCCCCACUGGAACCGCAGAGCUGAGACCCCUAGACUGGAGGUAAGGGUCAGGGGGCUAGAAACCCUGGAGAGAGACCCAGACCCAAGGCAACGUUUCCUGUUUCUCUGUGUUGAUCUGGCCACAAGUGGGAUCAUAGGAAAGGACAUUACACAGGAAAUAAAGCUCUGUGGGAUCUCAUUUCAGGCCCCCUCUGCCUUCAGUGGUUGAGACGACAGUGGGCCGCUGGAGGGAAGGACAGAGGGGUGGAGAGCGCCCCUGGCGGCCAUGGGGCAGGCUGGGCGGUGGUCAGCAGCACGACCCCCUCGGCCACCGGGACUGGUCCUGGGGACCUUGGACAGCCCUGGAGUGUGGCCGACCAGGCUGCGAUCAGGGAGGUGCGGCAGGCGGGCGCUCACCCCACG